AUGGAUCCUGCGUCCACGCCGAUUACGCGUGCGCCGUCCACAUCCACCUGACGACUGCUCGCUACGGUUUAUCCGCC
rnacentral:sRNA from 1 species